CCUACGGGAGGCAGCAGUGAGGAAUAUUGGUCAAUGGACGAGAGUCUGAACCAGCCAAGUAGCGUGAAGGAUGACUGCCCUAUGGGUUGUAAACUUCUUUUAUAAAGGAAUAAAAUGAGGCACGUGUGCAUUUUUGCAUGUACUUUAUGAAUAAGGAUCGGCUAACUCCGUGCCAUCAGCCGCGGUAAUACGGAGGAUCCGAGCGUUAUCCGGAUUUAUUGGGUUUAAAGGGAGCGUAGAUGGGUUGUUAAGUCAGUUGUGAAAGUUUGCGGCUCAACCGUAAAAUUGCAAUUGAUACUGGCAGUCUUGAGUACAGUUGAGGUAGGCGGAAUUCGUGGUGUAGCGGUGAAAUGCUUAGAUAUCACGAAGAACCCCGAUUGCGAAGGCAGCUUACUAAGCUGUGACUGACAUUGAGGCUCGAAAGUGUGGGUAUCAAACAGGAUUAGAUACCCUGGUAGUC
rnacentral:rRNA from 1 species